rnacentral:rRNA from 1 species
GACGAACGCUGGCGGCGUGCUUAACACAUGCAAGUCGAACGGAAAGGCCCUGCUUUUGUGGGGUGCUCGAGUGGCGAACGGGUGAGUAACACGUGAGUAACCUGCCCUUGACUUUGGGAUAACUUCAGGAAACUGGGGCUAAUACCGGAUAGGAGCUCCUGCUGCAUGGUGGGGGUUGGAAAGUUUCGGCGGUUGGGGAUGGACUCGCGGCUUAUCAGCUUGUUGGUGGGGUAGUGGCUUACCAAGGCUUUGACGGGUAGCCGGCCUGAGAGGGUGACCGGCGACAUUGGGACUAAGAGACGGCCCAGACUCCUACGGGAGGCAGCAGUGGGGAAUAUUGCACAAUGGGCGGAAGCCUGAUGCAGCAACGCCGCGUGCGGGAUGACGGCCUUCGGGUUGUAAACCGCUUUCGCCUGUGACGAAGCGUGAGUGACGGUAAUGGGUAAAGAAGCACCGGCUAACUACGUG